CCAAAACAUUUUGCGGGACCCAGCAGCGGAAGGAAGCUGGCGCGGAGCCAGAGGAUUCCCAUCCUCUUUACCCACCAUUCCCUCUCCACUUCAAACAGUUUAAAAAAGGUAAGAUUUGAGCCAAACCCAAAAAUCGUUAAACCUUCCUUAACGUCCCUUUUUCCAAAUUUGUGUAAUUGGAUUGGCGAGUGACCGUUAACAGUUUAACUAGAAAACG
rnacentral:misc_RNA from 1 species